rnacentral:tRNA from 1 species
AGGGGUAUAGCUCAGUGGUAGAGUGAGUGCUUGGAAUGCAUGAGGUCCUGGGUUCAAUCCCCAGUGCCUCCA